UACGGAAGGGGCUGAGCGUUAGCGUCGAAUGACUGGGCGUAAAGCGCACGUAGGCGGUAGUUGUUAAGUCAGGGGUGAAAAUCCCGUGGAAGCCUCGAACUCCAGAAUGCCUUUGAUACAGAAGAUCUUGAGUCGGGAGAGGUGGAGUGGAACUGCGAGUGUAGAGGUGAAAUUCGUAGAUAUUCGCAAGAACACCGAAGUGG
rnacentral:rRNA from 1 species